rnacentral:sRNA from 1 species
UGCAGGUCCCCAGACUCCAAGCCUGGGUGCUCUCCAGCAGACGGCAUGGUACCCACAGCUAAUGCCUGCCCCUUCCUAGAACGAAGAGUCACUGAAGAAGUGCGUGGAGGAUUACCUGGCGAGGAUCACCCAGGAAGGCCAGAGGUACCAAGCCCUGAAGGCCCACGCGGAGGAGAAGCUGCAGCUGGCAAACGAGGAGAUCGCCCAGGUCCGGAGCAAGGCCCAGGCGGAAGCGUUGGCCCUCCAGGCCAGCCUGAGGAAGGAGCAGAUGCGGAUCCAGUCGCUGGAGAAGACAGUGGAGCAGAAGGUGGGUGCGGGAAGCCCAGCUCAAGGGGCCGUCUGGCAGCACCUUCUAGAAGGCCCUUGGGCCUGCCACUCCCUCCAAGCAGGGAGAAGCCCUGCAACUCAUCUUCCUCCUCCAGACUAAAGAGAACGAGGAGCUGACCAGGAUCUGCGACGACCUCAUCUCCAAGAUGGAGAAGAUCUGACCUCCACGGAGCCUCUGUCCCCGCCCCCCGCUCCUGUCCGUCCGUCCUGUCUGAUUCUCUUA